UGCCAGACUCCUACGGGAGGCAGCAGUGAGGAAUAUUGGUCAAUGGGCGGGAGCCUGAACCAGCCAAGCCGCGUGAAGGAAGAAGGCGCCAAGCGUCGUAAACUUCUUUUGUCGGGGAACAAAGGGCGCCACGUGUGGCGUUGUGAGUGUACCCGAAGAAAAAGCAUCGGCUAACUCCGUGCCAGCAGCCGCGGUAAUACGGAGGAUGCGAGCGUUAUCCGGAUUUAUUGGGUUUAAAGGGUGCGUAGGCGGUCCGGAAAGUCAGCGGUAAAAGCCCGGGGCUCAACCCCGGCGAGCCGUCGGAACUGCCGGGCUAGAGUGGGCGAGAAGUGCGCGGAAUGCGUGGUGUAGCGGUGAAAUGCAUAGAUAUCACGCAGAACUCCGAUUGCGAAGGCAGCGCACCGGCGCCCUACUGACGCUCAGGCACGAAAGCGUGGGUAUCGAACAGGAUUAGAUACCCUGGUAUG
rnacentral:rRNA from 1 species